GACAACUGUGGAUUGUGUCCUAAUUAUUGCCCUGAGCACCAGAAAAGGCCAAGAUAUGGGGCACACCCCCUUGUGGGCAUCCAAAAGAGAGGGUAUAUAAAGACACCAUUGAGGAGGUUGAGUUGAGUUCAGAGGAGGCCAUGUUAGCAUAAGCAGUGGCAGAGAGAACCCAGUGGGAGCUCGGAACUUCGUUGAAGGCUGGAGUAUCCAUGACCUGACCGGAUCAGCACACAGAUCAACUCCUUGGGCAGGGAGUUUGGCUCAGGAAAUAGAUGCCACUUCCCCUCUGAAACUGGUCACCGCUACUGACUCAGGAACAUCUUCAUUCUGCUCCUCCAAUAGGAGGCAGACAAAACAGAACUGACUCAUAGCUUCGCCAGACUUGGACUGGAGGAAAAGGAGGUCACAUCUUCAGUCAGAGUGAAGUGUUCACUCUAGCUACUGAACUUACCUGCCGCCUCACCAAAAUCUGGGGCUUUAGGGGACCCUCCUGUUCCUGUGAAGAAGCAUGAGCAGUACAUCCAUUUUCCUGCCUGCCCCUCAGCCGGACGGCUCAGGCUUCUGCGCAGAUCAGGAAAGAAGGUUUCCAGAUGGAGCCAACCAGGUCCAAACCCUGGCAUUUGCACCUGUGGCCCGCAAAAGCCAGCCUCUGCCUUGGCACUCUCAUCCUCUCUCCAGGGAGAACACACUCUGUGCCUGUCCUGAGCCCAAAGGUUCAGAGAAUGGCUCAGAGGAGGGUAUCACUUAUGCCUCAGAGAACAUGGCAAUGUCAGCCGAUGAGGAGAAGUUGCUUCUGCUGCACAAGACUACAGAGCUCUGCAAGCUCAACAAAAAGCUUAUGAAGCUGAAUCAGGAGUGGGACCACAUCUACCGCAUAGCUACCUUGCAAAUGCAGCAGAAGAUGAGCACCCUACAGAUGGAGGUGGUUGGCUUCAAGCAGCAGACGGAGCGCCUGAUCAUAAAGCUCGAC
rnacentral:lncRNA from 1 species